CCGAGUUUACAACUCCCAAAACCCUAUGUGAACCUUACCUAUCGUUGCUUCGGCGGGAUCGCCCUGGCGCCUCCGGGCGCCGGACCUCAGGCGCCCGCCGGGGGCCCGAAACUCUUGUUUAAUUUUAGUGUUUUCUCUCCGAGUGGCACAAGCAAAAAUAAAUCA
rnacentral:misc_RNA from 1 species